ACUCAAAUGAAUUGACGGGGGCCCGCACAAGCAGCGGAGCGUGUGGUUUAAUUCGAUGAUACGCGAAGAACCUUACCUGGGUUUGACAUCAAGAUAGUAGCCAACCGAAAGGGCGGCGACCCUUCGGGGCGUCUUGACAGGUGCUGCAUGGCUGUCGUCAGCUCGUGUCGUGAGAUGUUGGGUUAAGUCCCGCAACGAGCGCAACCCUCGUCGUUAGUUACACGUGUCUAGCGAGACUGCCGGUAUCAAACCGGAGGAAGGUGAGGAUGACGUCAAGUCAGCAUGGUCUUUAUGUCCAGGGCGACACACACGCUACAAUGGUCGGUACAAUCGGUCGCUACCUCGCAAGAGGAGGCUAAUCCGCAAAGCCGGCCUCAGUUCGGAUUGUCGUCUGCAACCCGACGGCAUGAAGGUGGAGUUGCUAGUAACCGCGCGUCAGCAUAGUGCGGUGAAUGCGUUCCCGGGCCUUGUACACACCGCCCGU
rnacentral:rRNA from 1 species